rfam:Schistosoma rodhaini strain Burundi genome assembly, scaffold: SROB_scaffold0007106
AUCCAGCUGACGAGUCCCAAAUAGGACAAAACACUCGUCUUAGAU